rnacentral:rRNA from 1 species
UGAGUACGAGCUGCUACGGCAGCGAAGUGGGUGACGUCAAGCUUCCAAGAAAAGCCCUACACCCGUUAAGGCAUGAUGGCCUGUACCCGAAACCGACACAGGUGGGGUGGUAGAGAAUACCGAGGGGCGCGAGGUAACUCUCUCUAAGGAACUCGGCAAAAUGGCCCCGUAACUUCGGGAGAAGGGGUGCCACCGCAAGGUGGUCGCAGUGAAGAGGCCCAGGCGACUGUUUACCAAAAACACAGGUCUCCGCUAAGUCGCAAGACGAUGUAUGGGGGCUGACGCCUGCCCAGUGCCGGAAGGUUUAGGAAGCUGGUCAGCGCAAGCGAAGCUGGCGACUGAAGCCCCGGUGAACGGCGGCCGUAACUAUAACGGUCCUAAGGUAGCGAAAUUCCUUGUCGGGUAAGUUCCGACCCGCACGAAAGGCGUAACGAUCUGGGCGCUGUCUCGGAGAGAGGCUCGGCGAAAUAGAAUUGUCUGUGAAGAUGCGGACUACGUGCACCCGGACAGAAAGACCCUAUGAAGCUUUACUGUAGCUUGGUAUUGUGCCCGGGCUCUGAAUGCGCAGGAUAGGUGGGAGGCUUUGAUCCAUUGCUUGUGGGUGAUGGUGAGCCAACGGUGAGAUACCACUCUUUCAGAGCUAGGGUUCUAACGGUCACCCGUUAUCCGGGGACCGGACAGUAUCAGGUGGGCAGUUUGACUGGGGCGGUCGCCUCCUAAAAGGUAACGGAGGCGCGCAAAGGCUCCCUCAGGCUGGUUGGAAAUCAGCCGAUGAGUGUAAAGGCAGAAGGGAGCUUGACUGUGAGACCUACAAGUCGAACAGGGACGAAAGUCGGCCUUAGUGAUCCGACGGUUCUGAGUGCAAGGGCCGUCGCUCAACGGAUAAAAGUUACUCUAGGAUAACAGGCUGAUCUCCCCCAAGAGUUCACAUCGACGGGGAGGUUUGGCACCUCGAUGUCGGCUCAUCGCAACCUGGGGCUGAAGUCGGUCCCAAGGGUUGGGCUGUUCGCCCAUUAAAGCGGUACGCGAGCUGGGUUCAGAACGUCGUGAGACAGUUCGGUCCAUAUCCGGUGCAUGCGCAGGAAUAUUGAGAGGAUUUCUCCCUAGUACGAGAGGACCGGGAGGAACGCACCUCUGGUGUACCAGUUAUCGUGCCAACGGUAAACGCUGGGUAGCCAUGUGCGGAGUGGAUAACCGCUGAAAGCAUCUAAGUGGGAAGCCCACCUCAAGAUGAGUAUUCCCAUGGCGUUAGCCAGUAAGGUCACGGGCAGAACACCCGUUGAUAGGCUCUACGUGGAAGCCGGGUAACCGGUGAAGCGGAGGAGUACUAAUAGACCGAGGGCUUGAUC